rnacentral:rRNA from 1 species
UACGUAGGGUGCAAGCGUUAUCCGGAAUUAUUGGGCGUAAAGAGCUCGUAGGCGGUUUGUCGCGUCUGCUGUGAAAACUGGGGGCUCAACCCCCAGCCUGCAGUGGGUACGGGCAGACUAGAGUGCGGUAGGGGAGAUUGGAAUUCCUGGUGUAGCAGUGGAAUGCGCAGAUAUCAGGAGGAACACCGAUGGCGAAGGCAGAUCUCUGGGCCGAUACUGACGCUGAGGAGCGAAAGCGUGGGGAGCGAACAGG